GAGAUUUUAAGNUUAUAWAAACUAGUAGCCUUCAAAGCCACAAAAAUAAGUAAAUUCUUCUAAAUCUUG
rnacentral:tRNA from 1 species